rnacentral:rRNA from 1 species
AUUGAACGCUGGCGGCAGGCCUAACACAUGCAAGUCGAACGGUAGCACAGAGAGCUUGCUCUCGGGUGACGAGUGGCGGACGUGUGAGUAAUGUCUGGGAAACUGCCUGAUGGAGGGGGAUAACUACUGGAAACGGUAGCUAAUACCGCAUAACGUCGCAAGACCAAAGAGGGGGACCUUCGGGCCUCUUGCCAUCAGAUGUGCCCAGAUGGGAUUAGCUAGUAGGUGGGGUAACGGCUCACCUAGGCGACGAUCCCUAGCUGGUCUGAGAGGAUGACCAGCCACACUGGAACUGAGACACGGUCCAGACUCCUACGGGAGGCAGCAGUGGGGAAUAUUGCACAAUGGGCGCAAGCCUGAUGCAGCCAUGCCGCGUGUAUGAAGAAGGCCUUCGGGUUGUAAAGUACUUUCAGCGAGGAGGAGGCUACUUGGAUUAAUACUCUAGGAUAGUGGACGUUACUCGCAGAAUAAGCACCGGCUAACUCUGUGCCAGCAGCCGCCGCCGUAA